GAAACAAAAGCCAAAUUCAGCCCACCAACAAAUGAGGAAUCAGAGAAGGAAAGGAAUCAGAGAAGGUGAUUGUCCACAGACUGACAUUUGGGAACCAAAUAUGGUAGAGGAGUCUUUCAAGAAGUUCGAACCAUAAUGCUUGGGACAGAGGAGUUGAAAGCAGACCACUAUAUGGAAAAUUUGUUUUUAAGCUUCUAGAGGCUACCCACAUUCCUGGGCUAAUGGCCCCUUCCUACAUCUUCAAAGCCAGCAGUGGUG